UACGAAGGGGGCUAGCGUUGUUCGGAAUUACUGGGCGUAAAGCGCACGUAGGCGGCUUGUUAAGUCAGGGGUGAAAUCCCGGAGCUCAACUCCGGAACUGCCUUUGAUACUGGCGAGCUUGAGUUCGGAAGAGGUUAGUGGAAUUCCCAGUGUAGAGGUGAAAUUCGUAGAUAUUGGGAAGAACACCAGUGGCGAAGGCGGCUAACUGGUCCGAUACUGACGCUGAGGUGCGAAAGCGUGGGGAGCAAACAGG
rnacentral:rRNA from 1 species